rnacentral:rRNA from 1 species
AGAGUUUGAUUCUGGCUCAGGACGAACGUUGGCGGUGUGUCUAAGGCAUGCAAGUCGAACGAGAUCGCUUUCUUCGGAAAGCAUUAUAUCUAGUGGCAGACGGCUGAGUAACGCGUAAGUAACUUACCCUAGAGUGGGGAAUAACACAGAGAAAUCUGUGCUAAUACCGCAUACGAUUUAUUGAUAAUUUCUAUAAAUGAAAGAUUUAUCGCUCUUGGAUGGGCUUGCGUCCUAUCAGGUAGUUGGCGGGGUAAUGGCCCACCAAGCCUAAGACGGGUAGCUGGUGUGAGAGCACGACCAGCCAGAGGGGGACUGAGACACGGCCCCCACUCCUACGGGAGGCAGCAGCUAAGAAUAUUGCACAAUGGACGAAAGUCUGAUGCAGCGACACCGCGUGAGGGAUGAAGGUUUUAGGAUUGUAAACCUCUUUUAUUAGGGAAUAGCAAGGAAGGUACCUAAUGAAUAAGCUACGGCUAACUACGUGCCAGCAGCCGCGGUAAUACGUAGGUAGCGAACGUUGUCCGGAAUCACUGGGCGUAAAGGGUCCGUAGGCGGUUUGAUAAGUCUCAUAUGAAAACUUCAAGCUCAACUUGGAGAGGUUGUGAGAUACUGUCAAACUAGAGACUGUUAGAGGUAAGUGGAAUUCCAGGUGUAGUGGUGAAAUGCGUAGAUAUCUGGAGGAACACCAGUGGCGAAAGCGACUUACUGGGACAGUUCUGACGCUAAGGGACGAAAGCGUGGGGAGCGAACCGGAUUAGAUACCCGGGUAGUCCACGCCGUAAACGAUGAUUGCUAGGUUUUCGGGGCAUCGACCCCUCGUGAGCCGAAGUUAACGCGUUAAGCAAUCCGCCUGAGUAGUACGGCCGCAAGGCUAAAACUCAAAGAAAUUGACGGGGGACCGCACAAGCAGCGGAGCGUGUGGUUUAAUUCGAUGGUAAGCGAA